rnacentral:rRNA from 1 species
GACGAACCGUGCAAACGUUGUUCGGAAUCACUGGGCUUAAAGGGCGCGUAGGCGGGUGAGCAAGUCCGGGGUGAAAUCUUUCGGCUUAACCGGAAAAGUGCCUUGGAUACUGCUCGUCUGGAGGAAGGUAGGGGCAGGUGGAACUUCUGGUGGAGCGGUGAAAUGCGUUGAUAUCAGAAGGAACGCCGGUGGCGAAAGCGACCUGCUGGACCUUUUCUGACGCUGAGGCGCGAAAGCUAGGGGAGCAAACGGG